UUUACCUUGUCAGCUUGGGGAUUCGAUCUAGCAACACUCUAACCGCUAGGCUACCUGCCGCCCCCAAAUAAUAAGACAUUAUUUGUUCGACCGAAUGGGAAAACGUCUGUGUGAGCAUUUGAAUUAGAUCAAGAUCAAACGAGUUUGCAAAUAUCUUUGAUACACCAGAAGUUGCUAAUAACAUCUGUAUCUAGCUAGCUGUAGCAUGGUACCUAGCUAGCACCAAUGGCACCAGCCUGAAAACAAUGACCAGUAGAACUUUUCCAGCAGUCAUUUUCCAUAUUCUUAGCAAUGAUUUAAGUAUCCAUGGGAAGAACAUCGUUUGCAUCCAUCAGCCAGCUAGCUUUUUUAUGACCAACACUGUUCAGAGUUUGGAGAAGUGUGUCUGCACUCGUGCGGCAGCAGCAGGGGCGCGAGACAAAACUUUACCAACAUCAUAGCAUAGGUCAACACAAUGUGAUUAUUAGAUUCCAAACAAAGAUUACCUGUACUCUGCUGCCACGUGCCGACAAGACAGAAGAUUGAGCAGGAGCAAAGAUCCUAAUUUUCCAGAAUAUUUGGCCAUUGUGUACAUGUACAAUGUACAGAACCACAACGUUUGUGGCAGACGCCCUCAGGCACAGGGAUGUGGGGGCCAAAGCCAUAGAGACACUGACCCAGCUCUUUGGAAUUGGGCACUCCCCCUCAUCUGUCCUGACGGUCCUGAAGAACGACCUGCAGAUUGAGUACAGAGAGGACUACAUCUUCACCUCUGUUGAGACCUCCAGUUCUGUUACCAAUUGUACCACAAAGUGUUCAGGCAGGAGCAUGGGGAACAAAAUAGGCCUGAGAUGCUCUCAGCCCUAGAGAGGCAGGUUGAGGAGUAUAAUCUUAGGUGCGGCGAGAUCUGUGCCAAGGUUGCGAAAUCUUCUGGAGGAGCCCCUCUGGUGCUUCAUUGAUUCCUCUGGGAACAUGGACAGAGAACUGCAUAGUUUUUCUUCUCCUUACCCACACCUGUGCUGGCGGUCUACCCCUUGAGGUUAUCCUGACUCGGUCUGAGGAUGAGACCACAAUCCUUGAGGGCCGUCAACUGUUGAAGGACAUACUGCAGACACCUUUGCAGGGAGAGGUCAGGCUGGUCCUCACCUCAUCAUUUCAGAUGACUGCAAGGCAGAGAGGGGAGCAUUAGGGGGGGCAUUUCCAGGGGCCACACUGCUCCUCUACACCUUCCACCUACUCCAGGCAGUGUGGAGGUGGCUGUGGGGCAAGGAGAGUGGAGUAGACCUGAGAGACAGGCAGACCCUCUUCACUGUCGGCAAAGACAUCAUGUGUGCCAGGGAAGAGAUGGUUGAGCCCCUCUAUCAGCAGGCAAAACAAAACUCAGUUGUAGCCAGGUUAGUGUAGUAUAACAGUAUAAUGAGGUGCAAUCUAUUAACUUAUGCUUUAUUCUCAGUAUUAUGAUAAAACCAAGACAUGGGGAACCAACCCGAGGGAACGACUUUGUGGAGGCAGCAAUGCGGGUCCUUAUGGAUAAAAAUCCUCUAGAGGACGAAAGUGUUCAAUCUCCCUGCCUUAUUUGACCAGCCUGGAGGCCUAUUGUGAGGCACGGGUGACUGAUGUUGCCCUUGACCGCAGGGAAACAUUCUAGCACUCUCGUUUUCUGGCCCAGGAAAGCAACAUCAACCCAUCUGACAUCGAGCAGAUGGGGGAGAAGCAGUACAGGGUGAAGGACAGCACACCAGGCCAGACCUAUACUGUGGACAUAGAGAUGGACCUCUGCACUUGUCCAGUAGGGCACCCAGGAGCUCCAUGCAAGCACCAGGCUGCUGUGGUUCAGAUAUACAAAUGCCUGUCCAUCAACUUCCUCCUAACAACACCGGAGAUCAGGGCUGAGAAGCUAAAGAUAACAGGAGUUAAAAUAGUGGCUAAUUAAUUAUUGUUUAUGGUUAGAAAAUCAUUUUAAUGUGAAUAUUUUAUGGACCAAAGCAGAGUGCCGAAGUUGAUUAAAUAUCUCUUACAGCAACAAUAUCUCUGGAUUUUCUGCAGCAACUGAGACAGCCAAGUCAGCCAUUAGAUGCUACAGUUCAGGCCUCGUAACAACUUCCACAAGAGGACCUUUCAAACGACAUAACCACUGGCUUGGAGAGGGAAGAUGUAACCUCCAGUGUUCCUGACCACUAGCCUUUCGCUGUGCCAAGAGACUCAGAAGGGGACAUUCUGCCUGAUUUGCCUGACCUGGUGGAAGACAUGCCAAAGGAGUUCAGUUCCUUGACCAAGGAUGACUACUACAGUGACGCCCUGGUAGCAAUGGCCAAGCAAAGCCCAUGUCAGCCCAGCAGCCAAGAAAGCAACUGCACUACAACGAGCAGCUAGAUGUCCCGACCCCAUGAUCCCCUGUCAGCCUACUGCAGUUGGCCUUAGAGCGAGCAAGGUUGGAUCGAAGAGUCAUCUGACUGCUAGACGUCCAAAACCCAGAACAGCGGUCCUGAGCACCCUUACUGCUUAGACAAAAAGAGGAAAAGGCCUGCCAGGUUUGGGCAUCACAAGUUGUCUGAGUCUUUGGGAAUGAAUUGUUCACACAAGAAGUGAGGAGUUAGUUCGUUUUUAUGUGGUUGCUUUAAGUUGUCUAUUUAUGAUGUUUGAUAUUCUGUUGUCAUAAAAUCCGGAAAGAGAGCAUGCAUGGAUGCAUUGUCUUACUAGCCGUUGACGAUAGGCAUACUAGUUCAUUAAAUAGCAUGCAGUCACCUAGCCCAUUUCCUAGAUCACAGUGGAACUCUGGUCUAGCUGUAUAACAUUUAGCCACCUUGCAAGUUAUUUCAAAUUAAAUUUGAUUUGUCACAUGCAUCGAAUACCUUACAGUGAAAUGCUUACUUACAAGCCCUUAACCAACAAUGCAGUUAAGAAAAAUACCACAAAAAAAUUAUAAAUAAAAAUAACAAAUAAUUAAAGGGCAGCAGUAAAAUAACAAUAGUGUGGUUAUAUACAGGGGGUACCGGUACAGAGUCAAUGUGCGAGGACACCGACCCGUACCUGUUUGGCGAUGCUUUUCCCACGUCUGCGAGUAUAUCCAUGAUUUGUGGGCGGUUCUGAUAAGGAAUGCAUCACCCAAGAAAGAAUGAAAUCCAGUUGUUAGAUUCUACCACCACCCUCCAAAUCAACACCAAACAUUGAUGUCAAUGUUUGCGCGUGCACAUGCUUCAUUCUUCUUCCUGACGUGGUAAAAGCGUCGCCAAACAAGCACAGGUCAGCAAAUAUUUCGCACGCCUCUCCAAUGAUAUGUCCCAAGACAGAAUUUUGACUGUUAAAAUAACUGUACUUACUGGACUGUUAUUAACUGUAUACAUGCUGGCGAGCUAUGUAGGACUAGCAGUAGGACUACAAUAGGCCGAGUUCUAACAAAUUCUAUACUAACAAUCUUCCAGUUCAGAUAGAGCCCAAUAUACGUUUAAUAAUCAUUUGUAAAAUGAUUUACUUAUUUAUUAAUACAUUUCAUAAAUAUAUAGAUUUCUUUUGUGUUCCAUUUAUAGAGCCCGACAUUGAUCUGACACUCAUUUUAAGGGGUUAAUUUACAGGUGAAGCUUUAACCUAGCCUAUCAGAGGACAACAAGGUAGAAAUAACUAUUAACAUGUUGAUUGCACUGUCAAAUCCUUUCAACAAAUGCAUAUGGUCUGGGGAUCCAUUUGGGAUUGGGCCUCAGUCUGAAACCAUCUCUUCAAUUGUGGACAGCUGCUCUCUAUACUCCUACCUGAAAAUAUAACUUCACGUUUGGUUAACCUUUCUAAAUAAUAUUACAGUUACACUUGUCAUGUUAAGGUGUUGCAGGUAGCCUAGCGGUUAGCGCAUUGGGCUAGUAACCAAAAGGUUGCUUGCUAGUUCUAAUCCUUGAGUUGACAAAGUGAAGAAUCUGUUGAUGCAUGACUUAUAAUAGAUAGAUUUCCACCUAGAAUAGGUGGAACCUCAUUUUGCAGUAAACUGGCAGUAGUUGAUACAUGGUAUAGAAAUUAAUGAUAUAUGCAAAGCAAUACCUUCAGGACUUAAUUAAUGAAAUAUAAUUUGUGUUUUAGAGAACAUGUCAAGUUGAAUAAAAAUAAAAGAUGCACAACUUAUGUUAGAAGGUUGCCCUAUGGGGAAGUCAUAUUGAGACUAAAGUCUCUUUUGCAAAUGAGCCCUGCACAAUACAACAACUAACACUAGCACAAUAUACACUAAAUACAUAACACUCAAUUAAAACAAACAAAUUCUUCAUUAUAAAAAUCCUCUGUCAGCUGUCUGAAUUGCCCUAGGGACACCAAAGCAUCCAAUCAAAACAUAUUUUGGAUAUUAUUCCAAACACAGGGAGCAAGGAAGUUGAAGGCUGAUUUACCUAACUCUGUAGACACCAAAAGGAGUCUCCAGAGUUAACCGACCCUGUGAAUGGGUUUAAUAACUUGUCAUUUUAAAUCUGAAGUUAGGUAAAUUGGAAGCUUGUAGAGCAGGGCUUUGUGAACAAAAAUAGCAUAAUGAUGUGAUCUAUAUGACUUUAAAGAGGUCCAGCCAACCUUUUGUUAAAGAAUGCAGUGGUGAGUAAUAAAACUGUCUCCUGUGAUAAAACAAAGGGCGGUAUGAUGAACGGCAUCCAGGGGUUUAAGAGUAGUGGCAACUGCAAUUUGAUAAAUAGUAUCGCCAUAACCAGGAACAGAUAGAAAGGUUGACUGCACAAUCUGCUUCCUGGUGACUAGAGAGAGGCAAUAUCUGUUUCUGUAAAACAGCCCACUUAACAAGCUCAUUCGUAUGUUUUUUUAAAAACGUUAAAUCAUUGUCAAUCCAAAUACCAAGGUAUUUGUAUACAGGGACUCUUUCUAAUAUAGAACCAUCCGAUGCGUGAAGAUGUAAUCCAUCUGAGACAAUCUAACGAGAACUUGAAAACAACAUGCAUUUCAUUUUGCCCGUAUUAAGCACACGUUUUAAAAAAUCAGUAAUGGCUUCCUGCACAGCAGCAAAAUUGGACUGUAGCCUUGUCACAGUCAGGUCAGCCGUCGGGGCAAUUGCGUAAAUAAUAGUAUCAUCCGCAUAUAGAUGAAAUUAAACAUUUUAACCAAUAAAAUGUAUAUGAAUAGUGAAAAGAGCAGGUCCUAGUAUCGACUUCAAGAAAUUCAGGCUUAACCCCAUCAAUCACGAUGGUCUGAGUUAUGUCACUAAGAUAAUGAUGAAACCAUGAGUAGGCGUCAGAGCCCAGACCAAUCGAGGAAAACUUUAAGUAAAAUAGCAUGGUCCACAGUAUUAAAUGCUUUUGACAAGUCCACAAACAAGUCACAGUUCAUUUUAGUGUCUAAAGCAUUGACAAUAUCAUUAACAACUAAUGUGGUUGCUGUGAUAGUGCUGUGCCCUGGCCUAAACCCAGAUUGAUUUAUAUUCAAAAUACCAUGCGUUUAGCUAGUCAAUGUCGCCAUGACACUGUCUUAAUACUGUACUGCCUUUGGUAUCUCUGUGUAAAAAUGUUAUUUAUUUGUUAUUUUGCGACAUUACGAGAAUGCAUACAUUUGUUUAUAAUUUUUUAAAUCAGAGUCAAUUGUGCGUCAAGAAUUUAGCAUAGCAAGUUUGUAUGAAGGUCUAGUUAUUAAUGAGUACAUAGUUUAAUAGUAAUAUCCUCCUAAAACGCUCUGAUGACAUACAAACUUUGCUGCCCUGUUUUCAAUUGUCCACAUGGCUGGGAGAACCCAUUGCAGGCUAACGCAAAUGAGCUGCUAAAUGUGCUAGUGAGUUGGCUAGCUAGCUAUCUAGCCAACUUCACAUACUGUAUAGAUAGCUAGCUAAGUGAAUGAAAUAUCACCAUAUAUCUUGAUGUAUUUAUCACUGUAAAAAAACAAACUCCAAAUGCAUUUGUAGGUAGCUAGCUAAACAGCCAUGGAGGAGGGUGAUAGGAUAGCAGCCCCAACUGUCAUGAGAGAGUAGACUAUUCUGGAUAGGGCAGGUACAUUUGUGUAGUUCCUGUCCCUUGAAGUCUGUUUUCUUGUGAGGUUUUCUGUCCUCAGAUAAAGAGAGGUAUGAAAGCCUGUCUACAUAUGAAGAGCAGUGGUUCUCAGUCCUGGUCCUAGGGACUUAGCACUGCACAGUUGACUCAAAUUAUCAACUCAUCAUCAAGCUUCAAGUGGUAUUUAAGUAUUCAUUUGUGACGCUAUCCUUGAUAUGAUCCUGUUAUUGUCACAUGCUACACAGGCACAUAUGUGUGUCCAUGCAUCUACCCAUGCGUCAAUGUUAUCAUGAUUUGUUGUCAGGGAUAUUAUACUUUAGUAAUCCACAAUGACCUGGUGAUGUAAAAGUCUAAUAAUUACAUUAUCUUCCAUAUUUCUACAGAUACCUUAUAACUGGAGAUUCCUUCAAAACGAUUGCCUACAGUUAACGUGUAGUGUCGUGGAAAAUUGCAAGAUUAUGUUAUAAUGCUUGUAUUGUAUUAUAAUGGUUGUUUUAUUCAACAGAAUAG